GCCCGGCUGGCUCAGUUGGUGGAGCAUGUGACUCUUGAUCUUGGGGUUGUGAGUUUGAGCCCCACGUUGGGUA
rnacentral:tRNA from 1 species